ensembl:lncRNA
GGAGCCGUGAAGCAGCACCCAGCAGGGAGUCACCUCACCGGGAAGAAAAGGAGGCCCACAGCAGAGGAGGGAGCAUCUCCUUUUGCAAGUGCUCCAGCGAAUCAGUGAGGCAGGGACACACGAGUCACAGCUGAGCCUCACGCCGCCUCCGAUCCAGCCGUUUGCAGAGGUUCAGAGGCCAGAGGAAUACAGCAAGUGACACCCAGAGAUGACAUCGGCCAGUCCAGCUGGCGGGCCCUCUGCAGGCCGAGCGGGCAGCUUCGCCGCUGCGGUUACAUGGGAGGAGGAGAGGGGGGCGCCCGUGUGGGCAGAGGAGGUGCUGCAGUCACCCGGCAAGAGGCCCUGAGCGCGAGUGUGACUCAAACUCCACAAAGAAGCUUGUGAGACAGUCUUGGAACUCUGAGUCCUGCCUGAAUAGUUGAUGAUAAUGAAGCCUUUUUUUUUUUUUUUUUAAGGUUUGGUAGGUGGUUAUGCUUUUAUAAAAAAGAACUUUCAUAUUUUAGCAAUUUAUACUGCUGUAUCUCUAGAUAAAAU